GAGUUACAGAAGGAGUCACAGUACCACUAAUCAGGAGGUAUAGAAGGAGUCAUAGUACCACUAAUCCACUAAUCAGGAGGUCUAGGAGGAGUCAUAGUACCACUAAUCAGGAGGUCUAGGAGGAGUCAUAGUACCACUAAUCAGGAGGUCUAGGAGGAGUCAUAGUACCACUAAUCAGGAAGUAUAGAAGAAGUCACAGUACCACUAAUCAGGAGGUAUAGAAGGAGUCAUAGUACCACUAAUCAGGAAGUAUAGAAGGAGUCACAGUACCACUAAUCCACUAAUCAGGAGGUCUAUAAGGAGUCAUAGUACCACUAAUCAGGAGGUAUAGAAGGAGUCAUAGUACAUAGCUCAGAUGGAGUCCAGAUGUUUGGUGUGAACCUGACCAGGACUACCACAGUGGAUGCAUAGUCCUGACGGUGAAGCACGGAGGUGGGAGUGUGAUGACAAAUGAGCUGAUACUCAAACAAAGUUUUAAAAAAGUAGUUUCUGUCAUUUUAUUUUGGAUGAAUUGUGAAGAAUUUAGUGAAAACACUGAUGAAAUAUGAUCUGACUUUAGAAGGAUGGAAUGUUUGAUCUUUUUUUCUUGUAUUUUUCCAGUUAAUUACCCC
ensembl:lncRNA